rnacentral:rRNA from 1 species
GGUGGUGCAUGGUUGUCGUCAGCUCGUGUCGUGAGAUGUUGGGUUAAGUCCCGCAACGAGCGCAACCCUUAAGCUUAGUUGCCAUCAUUAAGUUGGGCACUCUAGGUUGACUGCCGGUGACAAACCGGAGGAAGGUGGGGAUGACGUCAAAUCAUCAUGCCCCUUAUGAUUUGGGCUACACACGUGCUACAAUGGAUAAUACAAAGGGCAGCGAACCCGCGAGGUCAAGCAAAUCCCAUAAAAUUAUUCUCAGUUCGGAUUGUAGUCUGCAACUCGACUACAUGAAGCUGGAAUCGCUAGUAAUCGUAGAUCAGCAUGCUACGGUGAAUACGUUCCCGGGUCUUGUACAC